rnacentral:rRNA from 1 species
CGCCUGUUUAACAAAAACAUGUCUUUUUGAUUUUAAUUUAAAGUCUGACCUGCCCACUGAAAUAUUUUAAAUGGCCGCAGUAUACUAACUGUGCAAAGGUAGCAUAAUCAUUAGUCUUUUAAUUGAAGGCUGGUAUGAAUGGUUGGACGAAAUAUUAACUGUUUCAUGAAAAUUUAUAAUAGAAUUUUAUUUUUUAGUCAAAAAGCUAAAAUUUAUUAAAAAGACGAGAAGACCCUAUAAAUCUUUAUAUUUAUAUUAUUAUAAUUUUGUAGAUUCUUUUUAUUAUAAUAAUAGAUUAUAUUUUAUUGGGGUGAUAUUAAAAUUUAAUAAACUUUUAAUUUUUUAAAUCAUUAAUUUAUGAAUAAUUGAUCCGUUAUUAGCGAUUAAAAAAACAAGUUACUUUAGGGAUAACAGCGUAAUUUUUUUGGAGAGAACAUAUCGAUAAAAAAGAUUGCGACCUCGAUGUUGGAUUAAGAUAUAAUUUUAGGUGUAGCCGCUUAAAUUUUAAGUCUGUCCGACUUUUAAAUUCUUACGUGAUCUGAGUUCAGACCGG